CGAUGUAUGCUUGGUGUUGGAAUUUUUGAUUUCAGUGCCAGAAGGAAACCCGUUUAAGCAUACCACCUGGGGAGUACGAUCGCAAGGUUGAAACUCAAAGGAAUUGACGGGGGCCCGCACAAGCGGUGGAUCAUGUGGUGUAAUUCGAUGCAACGCGAAGAACCUUACCUGGGCAUGAAGUGCAGGCAGUAGUGAUUCGAAAGAUGAUCGAACCGUUAAGUCGGAAACCUGCAGAGGUGCUGCAUGGCUGUCGUCAGCUCGUGCCGUGAGGUGUUGGGUUAAGUCCCGCAACGAGCGCAUACCCCUAUCAUUAGUUGCCAUCAGGUUAUGCUGGGAACUCUAAGGAGACUGCCUACGCAAGUAGAGAGGAAGGUGGGGAUGACGUCAAGUCAUCAUGGCCCUCAUGUCCAGGGCUACACACGUGAUACAAUGGUCGGUACAGUGGGCGAAGCCGCGAGGUGGAGGAAAUCCCCAAAACCGAUCUCAGUUCGGAUUGUAGUCUGCAACUCGACUGCAUGAAGUUGGAAUCGCUAGUCCUCCUCGAUCAGCGUGCUACGGUGAAUACGUUCCCGGGCAUUGUACACACCGCCCGUCAAGCCAUGGAAGCUGGGGUUACACCGAAGACGCAUUUUUAUGUGUCGAAGGCGAAA
rnacentral:rRNA from 1 species